AGCCUGAACGCUGGCGGCGUGGCUAAGACAUGCAAGUCGUACGGACGUAGCAAUACGUCAGUGGCGAACGGGAGAGUAAUGAAUCGCUAACGUGCCCUUUUGUCUGGGAUAGCCGUGGGAAACCGCGGGUAAUACCAGAUGAUAUGACCCUGUCGCAUGGCGGGGUUCUCAAAGGCGUAAGCCGCAGAGGGAGCGGGCGAUUUCGUAUCAGCUAGUUGGUGGGGUAAUGGCUCACCAAGGCGACGACGCGUAGCCGGACUGAGAGGUUGGCCGGCCUCAUUGGGACUGAGACACUGCCCAGACUCCUACGGGGGGCUGCAGUAACGAAUCUUCCGCAAUGCACGCAAGUGUGACGGAGCGACGCCGCGUGUGGGACGAAGUUCUUCGGAAUGUAAACCACUGUCAGGGGCAGCCAAGUUCUGAGGCGCCCCAGAGGAAGGCACGGCUAACUCUGUGCCAGCAGCCGC
rnacentral:rRNA from 1 species